UGAGAGUGAGAUCGGCCCCAGGUGCU
rnacentral:piRNA from 1 species